rnacentral:rRNA from 1 species
GUGUCAGCCGCCGCGGUAACACGGGGGGAGCGAGCGUUGUUCGGAUUUACUGGGCGUAAAGAGCGUGUAGGCGGGACAAUAAGUCAAAUGUGAAAUUUUUCGGCUUAACCGGAAACAUGCAUUUGAUACUGUUGUUCUUGAGUGCGAAAGAGGGAAGUGGAAUUCCUGGUGUAGCGGUGAAAUGCGUAGAUAUCAGGAAGAACACCAGUAGCGUAGGCGGCUUCCUGGUUCGCAACUGACGCUGAGACGCGAAAGCGUGGGGAGCAAACAGGAUUAGAUACCCUGGUAGUCCACGCCGUAAACGAUGGGCACUAGGUGUUGGAGGAUUCGACCCCUUCAGUGCCGAAGCUAACGCAUUAAGUGCCCCGCCUGGGGAGUACGGUCGCAAGACUGAAACUCAAAUGAAUUGACGGGG